AUACGUAGGGAGCAAGCGUUGUCCGGAUUUACUGGGUGUAAAGGGUGCGUAGGCGGCUCUGCAAGUCAGGCGUGAAAACUAUGGGCUUAACCCAUAGACUGCGUUUGAAACUGUGGGGCUUGAGUGAAGUAGAGGUAGGCGGAAUUCCCGGUGUAGCGGUGAAAUGCGUAGAGAUCGGGAGGAACACCAGUGGCGAAGGCGGCCUACUGGGCUUUAACUGACGCUGAGGCACGAAAGCAUGGGUAGCAAACAGGAUUAGAUACCCUGGUAGUCCAUGCCGUAAACGAUGAUUACUAGGUGUGGGGGGUCUGACCCCUUCCGUGCCGGAGUUAACACAAUAAGUAAUCCACCUGGGGAGUACGACCGCAAGGUUGAA
rnacentral:rRNA from 1 species